rnacentral:rRNA from 1 species
GUAGGGUGCAAGCGUUAAUCGGAAUUACUGGGCGUAAAGCGUGCGCAGGCGGUUUUGUAAGACAGUGGUGAAAUCCCCGGGCUCAACCUGGGAACUGCCAUUGUGACUGCAAGGCUAGAGUGCGGCAGAGGGGGAUGGAUUCCGCGUGUAGCAGUGAAAUGCGUAGAUAUGCGGAGGUACACCGAUGGCGAAGGCAAUCCCCUGGGCCUGCACUGACGCUCAUGCACGAAAGCGUGGGGAGCAAAC